rnacentral:rRNA from 1 species
AUCUGAAAUCAGGCGGGAUUCCCC